AGCGCCCCGCCGGCCCGGCACCCGCCCGGCGGGCGCGGGGACGGUGCGCCGGGGUCGGGGUCCCCGCAGAGAGCCGCGGCAGCCGCCGCCGCGCCCCCCAGUGCUAAGCGCGUGUAGGGCUUGGAUCGGCGACGAGGGGAGGCCACCGGAGCCGGGCGCGUACGCCGGGCAGGAGAGGAGAGGGCGUCUGCAGGCAGCGGAGACAGGUCCAGGCAGGAGAUGCAGCUCACCCAGCAACAGGCUGGCUCCAUGUCCCACUGCUGUGUCCCGUCUGUGCCUGGGCAGUGCCUGCACCAUCCUGUUCACUCAGGUCUGCCACUUGACACCUGCCUGCAUCUCUCUGAAUCCUCAGAACAGCUGGCUUAGUUUGGCCAAGAACCACCCAACUAAUGCCCAUUUUAUUGAGAAAUACAUCAUUGCAAAUAUCUGCUUUUCCUCAGUAUUUUUUUCUCCAUUGAC